rnacentral:rRNA from 1 species
UACAGAGGUCCCAAGCGUUGUUCGGAUUCAUUGGGCGUAAAGGGUGCGCAGGCGGAUAUGUAAGUCAGUGGUGAAAUCUCUAGGCUUAACCUGGAAAUUGCCGUUGAUACUAUAUGUCUUGAAUGCUGUGGAGGUAAGCGGAAUAUGUCAUGUAGCGGUGAAAUGCUUAGAUAUGACAUAGAACACCUAUUGCGAAGGCAGCUUACUACGCAGAUAUUGACGCUCAUGCACGAAAGCGUGGGGAUCAAACAGG